rnacentral:rRNA from 1 species
AUUGAACGCUGGCGGCAUGCCUUACACAUGCAAGUCGAACGGCAGCAUGAUCUAGCUUGCUAGAUUGAUGGCGAGUGGCGCACGGGUGAGUAAUACAUCGGAACGUGCCCUGUAGUGGGGGAUAACUAGUCGAAAGAUUAGCUAAUACCGCAUACGACCUGAGGGUGAAGGUGGGGGACCGCAAGGCCUCAUGCUAUAGGAGCGGCCGAUGUCUGAUUAGCUAGUUGGUGAGGUAAAGGCUCACCAAGGCGACGAUCAGUAGCUGGUCUGAGAGGACGAUCAGCCACACUGGGACUGAGACACGGCCCAGACUCCUACGGGAGGCAGCAGUGGGGAAUUUUGGACAAUGGGCGAAAGCCUGAUCCAGCAAUGCCGCGUGUGUGAAGAAGGCCUUCGGGUUGUAAAGCACUUUUGUCCGGAAAGAAAUGGCUCUGGUUAAUACCUGGGGUCGAUGACGGUACCGGAAGAAUAAGGACCGGCUAACUACGUG